rnacentral:rRNA from 1 species
GCUUGCUCCUUUGACGUUAGCGGCGGACGGGUGAGUAACACGUGGAUAACCUACCUAUAAGACUGGGAUAACUUCGGGAAACCGGAGCUAAUACCGGAUAACAUAUUGAACCGCAUGGUUCAAUAGUGAAAGGCGGCUUUGCUGUCACUUAUAGAUGGAUCCGCGCCGUAUUAGCUAGUUGGUAAGGUAACGGCUUACCAAGGCAACGAUACGUAGCCGACCUGAGAGGGUGAUCGGCCACACUGGAACUGAGACACGGUCCAGACUCCUACGGGAGGCAGCAGUAGGGAAUCUUCCGCAAUGGGCGAAAGCCUGACGGAGCAACGCCGCGUGAGUGAUGAAGGUCUUCGGAUCGUAAAACUCUGUUAUCAGGGAAGAACAAAUGUGUAAGUAACUGUGCACAUCUUGACGGUACCUGAUCAGAAAGCCACGGCUAACUACGUGCCAGCAGCCGCGGUAAUACGUAGGUGGCAAGCGUUAUCCGGAAUUAUUGGGCGUAAAGCGCGCGUAGGCGGUUUUUUAAGUCUGAUGUGAAAGCCCACGGCUCAACCGU